rnacentral:rRNA from 1 species
UGAAGUUAANGGCAUUGGCUCAACCAAUGUAUGCUUUGGAAACUGUUAGACUUGAGUGCAGAAGGGGAGAGUGGAAUUCCAUGUGUAGCGGUGAAAUGCGUAGAUAUAUGGAGGAACACCGGUGGCGAAAGCGGCUCUNUGGUCUGUCACUGACGCUGAGGCUCGAAAGCGUGGGUAGCGAACAGGAUUAGAUACCCUGGUAGUNCACGCCGUAAACGCUGAGUGCUAGGUGUUAGGUCCUUUCCGGGACUUAGUGCCGACGCUAACGCAUUAAGCACUCCGCCUGGGGAGUACGACCGCAAGGUUGAAACUCAAAGGAAUUGACGGGGGCCCGCACAAGCGGUGGAGCAUGUGGUUUAAUUCGAAGCAACGCGAAGAACCUUACCUGGUCUUGACAUCCCGAUGCCCGCUCUAGAGAUAGAGUUUUUCUUCGGAACAUCGGAGACAGGUGGUGCAUGGUUGUCGUCAGCUCGUGUCGUGAGAUGUUGGGUUAAGUCCCGCAACGAGCGCAACCCUUAUUGUUAGUUGCCAUCAUUAAGUUGGGCACUCUAGCGAGACUGCCGGUAAUAAACCGGGGGAAGGUGGGGAUGACGUCAAAUCAUCAUGCCCCUUAUGACCUGGGCUACACACGUGCUACAAUGGUUGGCACAACGAGUCGCAAGCCGGUGACGGCAAGCUAAUCUCUGAAAGCCAAUCUCAGUUCGGAUUGUAGGCUGCAACUCGCCUACAUGAAGUCGGAAUCGCUAGUAAUCGCGGAUCAGCACGCCGCGGUGAAUACGUUCCCGGGCCUUGUACACACCGCCCGUCACACCACGAGAGUUUGUAACACCCAAAGUCGGUGAGGUAACCAUUUAUGGGGCCAGCCGC